UACGUAGGGGGCAAGCGUUGUCCGGAUUUAUUGGGCGUAAAGGGCGCGUAGGCGGCUACGCACGUCCGUUGUGAAAUCGCCCGGCUCAACUGGGCGGGGUCGGCGGAUACGGCGUAGCUUGAGCAAGCUAGGGGGCAAUGGAAUUCCCGGUGUAGUGGUGGAAUGCGUAGAUAUCGGGAGGAACACCGGUGGCGAAGGCGGCAUCCUGGACCGGUAUUGACGCUGAGGCGCGAAAGCUAGGGGAGCAAACGGG
rnacentral:rRNA from 1 species